rnacentral:rRNA from 1 species
GAUGAACGCUGGCGGCGUGCCUAAUACAUGCAAGUCGAGCGAACGGACGAGAAGCUUGCUUCUCUGAUGUUAGCGGCGGACGGGUGAGUAACACGUGGAUAACCUACCUAUAAGACUGGGAUAACUUCGGGAAACCGGAGCUAAUACCGGAUAAUAUUUUGAACCGCAUGGUUCAAAAGUGAAAGACGGUCUUGCUGUCCCUUAUAGAUGGAUCCGCGCUGCAUUAGCUAGUUGGUAAGGUAACGGCUUACCAAGGCAACGAUGCAUAGCCGACCUGAGAGGGUGAUCGGCCACACUGGAACUGAGACACGGUCCAGACUCCUACGGGAGGCAGCAGUAGGGAAUCUUCCGCAAUGGGCGAAAGCCUGACGGAGCAACGCCGCGUGAGUGAUGAAGGUCUUCGGAUCGUAAAACGCUGUUAUUAGGGAAGAACAUAUGUGUAAGUAACUGUGCACAUCUUGACGGUACCUAAUCAGAAAGCCACGGCUAACUACGUG